rnacentral:lncRNA from 1 species
GUGGUUGUGGCAGCGACAGCGAUGGAGACUGCAGCUCGACAGGAAUGGAGAUGGAAUCCGGAGGAUGGCUGCAGCAAUGCGGAUGUAGGAGACCAAGAUGAGUGCACAGGGAGCCAGGAACAGGACCACAGCCCCCAGGAACACAUGCUGAUUGUCAUGUAUGUGAGCAGGCAAUCUUCAUGAGCAGGUCAAAGAAAACAAUUAUCGGGGACAUGGGGAUAGUGUGGACCAGCUUUGUUGGCAUCCAAGUAAUCCUGACCUAUUUGUUACGGCGUCCGGAGAUAAAACCAUUCGCAUCUGGGAUGUGAGGACUACAAAAUGCAUUGCCACUGUGAACACUAAAGCUACCCAGAACUGAAGCCUGUGCAGUCCAUCAACGCCCAUCCUUCCAACUGCAUCUGUAUCAAGUUUGACCCCAUGGGGAAGUACUUUGCCACAGGAAGUGCAGAUGCUUUGGUCAGCCUCUGGGAUGUGGAUGAGUUAGUGUGUGUUCGGUGCUUUUCCAGGCUGGAUUGGCCUGUAAGAACCCUCAGUUUCAGCCAUGAUGGGAAAAUGCUGGCGUCAGCAUCGGAAGAUCAUUUUAUUGACAUUGCUGAAGUGGAGACAGGGGACAAACUAUGGGAGGUACAGUGUGAGUCUCCGACCUUCACAGUGGCAUGGCACCCCAAAAGGCCUCUGCUGGCAUUUGCCUGUGAUGACAAAGACGGCAAAUAUGACAGCAGCCGGGAAGCCGGAACUGUGAAGCUGUUUGGGCUUCCUAAUGAUUCUUGAGAGGAGGUUGUAGGGAGAGGAGGCCCCGGCAGAGGUCUUCCUUCAUGUGGUUAGUUUGGUCUGUUCUCUCGGAGUUGGUGGGCACCCUAAAUAUUUGUAAGUUGGUAUAAAUUGUAAACGUCUCUGGUCAGGCUGCGCAUUUCGUUCUUUUGCUUUGUCUGUGUAUUAGCUCUUUCCAUUCUUUGCCCCCAGCAUGAGUUAACUCGCGUGGACUCUGCAGUGCGAGUAGUGACCCCAGCAUACCUUGUCCUCUGGACCUCCUGUCUUCUCUGCUUCUGGGUGCAUGGUAGACUUUGUGGCAUUUGAUACAACUUGGACAAUACCUAGUUUGGAGGGAGGGGAAUGGAAGGGCAUGGAAGUUUUUUUAAAUAAUUAAAAAAAUAUAUAUAUAAUUUUGAGAAUUGAGCAUUUAAUAAACUGACUUUUGUUAUUAUGGAA